AUGGCAUCUAUUCCCAAGCUUGUGAUUCUCCUGCUGUGCACCUGUCUUCACACUCUCCUUGCUCACGGAGGGGACGAUCUUCGCACCUACAAGGUUCUGCACGCUGGCGCUCUCAAAUCUGCCACCGUCAACUGCUCCCAGCCCCAAGUGACUCCAUCAUACGGCGGGGUCACGGUGCCGUUGCACCACCGGCACGGCCCGUGCUCGCCCUCGCCUGUACCCUCCACCAAGGCGCCGACCUUGCAGGAGAUGCUCCGGCGUGACCAGCUCCGGGCCGCUUACAUCACACGGAUCCAGUCUGAGUCGGGCAACCUUCUCGAAGACCAGACCGAUGGGCUCAUGGGGCUCGGCGGCGGCGCAGAGUCUCUCGCCACCCAGACAGCGGGGACCUUCGGCAAGGCCUUCUCGUACUGCCUCCCGCCGACUCCGGACUCGUCCGGAUUCCUCACUCUCGGUGCAGCAACCUCGGGUUUCGUAGUGAAGACGCCGAUGCUGAGGAGUAGUGAGGUCCCGUCGUACUACGGCGUGCGCCUUCAGGCCAUCAGGGUGGGAGGCAGGCAGCUCAGCAUACCUGCCUCGGUCUUCUCCGCCGGGUCGAUCAUGGACUCCGGCACAAUCAUCACGCGGCUUCCGGCGACGGCGUACUCUGCACUGUCGUCGGCGUUCAAGGCCGGCAUGAAGCAGUACCCGCCGGCGCAGCCCAUGGGCAUCUUCGACACGUGCUUCGACUUCAGCGGCCAGUCCAGCGUCAGCAUACCGAGCGUCGCACUGGUGUUCUCCGGGGGCGUCGUCAUCGACCUCGCCACCGAUGGGAUCAUUCUGGACAGCUGCCUCGCCUUCGCGGCCAACACCGACGACAACUCCCUCGGCAUCAUCGGCAACGUGCAGCAGCGGACGAUCGAGGUGCUGUACGACGUCGGCGGCGGCGCCGUGGGGUUCAAGGCUGGCGCAUGCUGA
rnacentral:rRNA from 1 species